ACUGAGGCAGAAGCGCCGAGUCACUUGUUUGCCUUUCUUCCACUGAUUGGAUUUGAUAAUAAUACAACAAUCUAUAGCUACUUUAAACUUCAUGUAGUGGUAAAUCUACACUGGUUUGUUCUCCCCCUUCUACACCCCACCCCCGACCCCCCUGCUCAGCAAUUUGUUGCAAACUUUGGAAUCUUUAGGUCAUGGAGAAAUCAAAGGUGUUAAUGUGACUAUAUUAAGAAGUUGGCCCACCAAGGAAGGUGCCCAUUUUGACCUCACCGGUUACGCAAGAGAGAGGAGUGAGCCUUUGAAAAUGUGAUGAGACAUUCGGUAACUGCCUGGAGCCCGGCACUGUUUACUGUACAAGGAGUUGGUGGUGGAAUUGAGCAACAUGGAAGCUGUCUCUGCCCUCUUGGGUUUUAGCCUUCAGUGGUGGAAGACGCGAAAGAAGCAAACAGAGUCUUAGAUCAUGCCAGGACACAAAUACAUGUAACGAAAGUUUGAUGGCAACAUGAUGACAUAGAAAAGAUCCCUGAACUGAAGAGCUCUGAAGAGUCCAAGGGGAGGAAACCUAAGGAGUCUUUACAGUGUUACUGGCCCAAGGGUGUGUAUGUUUGUAGAGGAAAUGGUUCCAUAGUAAUUUUAUUGAGCAUAUGCCUUUUCUAGUUUUCAAAAAAGUUCUUAUAAAAAUCUGUGGAAAAGUAUCAUCGUCUAUUUUUUUUUUUCAAAGAUGGAUUCUCACUCUGUCACCCAGGCUGGAGUACAGUGGUGCAACCUUAGCUCACUGCAACCUCCACCUCCUGGGUUCAGGAAAUUCUCUGCCUCAGCCUCCCGAGUAGCUGGGAUUACAGGUGCCCACCACCAAACUCGGCUAAUUUUUUGUAUUUUUUCAGUAGAGAUGGGGUUUCACCAUCUUGGCCAGGCUGGUCUUGAACUCCUGAUCUCGUGAUCCAACCGCUUCGGCCUCUCAGAAUGCUGGGAUUACAGGCGUGAGCCACUGCACCCAGCCCACUGUCUAUUUUUUAAUUAAAAAAACCUGACCAUCAAUGGAUGAAUGAAUUUUAAAAAGGUGCUCUAUAUGCCCAAUGGAAUACCAUUGAGUCUUAGAAGGAAAUCCUGUCAUUUGCAACGUGUCAUCCACAACAUGGAUGACCCUGGAGGACAUUGUGCUGAGUGAAAUAAGGUAGGCACAGAAGGACAAAUGCCAUGUGAUCUCACUUAUAUGUGGAAUCUGAAAAAGUCGAACUCCUAGAAGCACAGAGUUGAAUGGUGGUUAUCAGAGGCUGGGGUUAUGGCAAAUGUUGGUCACAGGGCAUGAACGUUUAACUUUUUGACAGGAGAAAUAAAUGUUUUGAGAUAUACUCCACAGCAUGAUGACUAUAGUUAAUAAUAAUGUACCUUUCAAAAUUGCUAAGAGUAAAUUUCAAAUGUUCUCAUCACAAAAAGUGAUAAGUAUUUGAGGUGAUGGAUACUAAAUUAGGUUUAUUUAAUAAUUCUGCAUAUUAUACAUAUAUCACAACAUUACUUUGUACCCCAUAAAUAUAUACAAUAAAAAAACUUGAG